AUACUUACCUGGACGGGGUCAAUAAGCAAUCAACAAGGCUCAUGGUCUAGGUUGGUGACCUCCAUUGCACUUUGGAGGGAUGCCUGCCUAAGGUCGACCCAAGUGGUUGAUCCUACGUCAUAAUUUGUGAUAUUGGAGCCUGCGUUCGCGCGGCCCUUAC